CAGGGUAAUGCUGUGCAAUAGGAGCAAUGCUGGCACUGUGGACCCCCCCGCCUCCUUGCACCCUGCUCCCAAAUCCCCCCACCACGCACCACAGCUCCACAGCCUGGGGGGGAGGGGAGUCAGCCCCAUAGAGCUGCUGGGGGGGGGGGUUCCCAGGGGAUGCUUUUUUGGGGGGGAAAGGCCAGUGGAUGCUUUCUUGGGGGAGAAAGUGCCUAUCAAGGAGUGUCAGCUCCGGAUUUGCUUAAUUGUGAGCUGGUGGAGUUUAAAGAAACACUUUCUGGCAGGCUGCCACACCGCAAACUGCUUGGUAUAAUUUUAUUAUUAAGGGAGGAGAGAAAAAAGGGGAGAGAGGGAAGGGGGAAGGAAGGCAGCGGCGGAGCUCUGCACAGCGCUGGGAAAUGUCCCCAGGGGACAUGGAGGGAGAAGGGCUCUUUGCAGCAAAUCGCCGCGUCUCUCCUUGCCCCUGCACGCUGCCAGCUGGCAAGAGAGGGCUUUGCAAAAAGAAAGGGAUUAAAAACUAAAAUACAAGCAACCCCGAGACUCGCUGCAAAGCAGAUGCUCCACCUGAGCUUCCCUGGGCAAUGCCUCCUGCAAAGCAAACACGCUCCAGAGACAAAAUUCAUGGCAGGGCUGAGCGUGCAGCGAGGGCGGCCGCGUGCUUAUCGCUUCCCCCACCAACAGGAUUGACAUCAACCUUGAGGCGCUCACAGGAGAGAGGAAAACAAGUCGAUGGCUGCACAGGAAAUAUGGCUGAGGUUAAAGAAGGACCUGGCCUGCCCCGCGCUGCAGACAAAAGCAAGGACAGCCAACGGGAGCCGUGCCGGGGGGGUAACAGACAGAUCUUCCCCAGCGCUGCACUGCCCUUCAGACAACCCUUCAGACAGCCCUAUGCCAAUCCUUCAGCCUCAAACCUUUAGCCCCAACCCUUCAGCCUCAAACCUGCAUCCCCAACCCUUCAGCCAAUCCUAAGCCAUCCUUCAGCCUCACUGCUUCAGCUCCAACCCGUCAGCCAACCCUAUGCCAAUCCUUCAAACUCAAACCUUCAGCCCCAACCCUUCAACCAACCCUUCAGCCCCAACCAAGUGACCCACGUGGAUGAAUCCCAGUGUUUGGGUUAUUUCUGCUUUUUGCCGGGUGCUCCCAAUUCCAUCCCAAUGCCUUCCUGGCACCACCCCAAUCCUACCUGGGUCCCAUCCAGGUCCCAUCCCAAUCCCACCAUGGUCCCACUUGGGAUCCAAACUGAUCCCACUCUGGUUCCUUCCCUGCCCUGUCCUGGUCCCAUCCGAGUGCCACUGCAGUCCCAUCCUGGCCCCAUUCCUGUCCCACCCCUGCCUCACCCUACCCCAAUCCCGAUCCCAGCCCCAUCCCCAUUGCCACGUGCCACAUCCAUCCACCAGGGCCACCUCCUGCAAGUGGCCAACAGCUCUGUAAGGAAGCACAAUGCUCCAGCACUUCCCUGAGUGACAGUGAGCAGCACCCAGCACUGAUGCUUUUCUUGUCUUUAUGGGAUGGGGCAGAAGAUGGUUCUGCCAGGAGCCCCCCAGGCUGCUCGUAGGGUGGCCCCACUGCCUUCACCCCUCUGACAGGGGGGAAAAUAGAGAAAAGAGGGGUAAAAAGAAAUAAAAAAAAAUUGACAUUUGAUGUCA
ensembl:lncRNA